GCGUAGAAGCUUCUCAUGGUGGGUCUGUUCGCCCUUUAAAAUCUAACAUGAGCUGAGUUCAGAACGGCGUGAGCUAGUUCAGUUUCUAUCCUCUUUUUGAAAUGAGCUAAUUUUGUACGAAAGGACUUUUUCGCUAAAGCAAUGCUUUGUCACAAAUCUGUGGUUGCAUAAAUAAUAGGGUAUAAUAGGUUGAUUAGCCUAUAGGAAGGGUUA
rnacentral:rRNA from 1 species